AGAGUUUGAUCAUGGCUCAGGACGAACGCUGGCGGCGUGCUUAACACAUGCAAGUCGCGGGGGGUGAGCAAUCACUCACCGGCGAACGGGUGCGUAACACGUGAGCGACCUGCCCACUUGUGGGGUAUAGCCGGCCCAACGGCCGGGUAAUCCCGCAUACGCUUCUCUGGCUGCAUGGCCGGGGGAGGAAAGCCGUAAGGCGCAAGUGGAGAGGCUCGCGGCCUAUCAGCUAGUUGGCGGGGUAACGGCCCACCAAGGCGAUGACGGGUAGCUGGUCUGGGAGGAUGGCCAGCCACAUUGGGACUGAGAUACGGCCCAGACUCCUACGGGAGGCAGCAGUGGGGAAUCUUGCGCAAUGGUCGAAAGACUGACGCAGCGACGCCGCGUGCGGGAGGAAGCCCUUCGGGGUGUAAACCGCUGUUACUCGGGACGAACUUCUCGAUUCAUCGAGAUUGACGGUACCGGGGGAGGAAGCACCGGCUAACUCUGUGCCAGCAGCCGCGGUAAUACAGAGGGUGCGAGCGUUGUCCGGAAUCACUGGGCGUAAAGGGCGCGUAGGCGGCUUUUCAAGCGUGCGGUGAAAGCUCGGGGCUUAACUCCGAGUCUGCCGUGCGAACUGGGAGGCUUGAGUCUGGUAGAGGUCGAUGGAAUUCCGGGUGUAGCGGUGGAAUGCGUAGAGAU
rnacentral:rRNA from 1 species